ensembl:lncRNA
AAGAUGGAUGUGCAGCUCACCGCUUUCUAAUCCGCUCCCAAACGGAGAAAUCUACGGACCGAGUGCAUCAGAUUUGAUUCAGUCGCUGCCCUUCAUUUAACACAAUGGCAACAUACACAGUCGCAAAAGGAUGCACACACACAGAUGUUGUCACGUACACAUGUUUGAAAAGAUGCAUUCCAUAUUAUUUCACCUGAGCCUGUGGUAUUUCUGACUUCUGAAUCAGCUUCCAAACCCAUUGAGCAAAGUUUCCCAUUUGAAGUCACGCGAUUCAUCGUAGACCAUCACUCCUUCUCCUCGCAGUGCGGCACCAAGGCUUUAAGGCUCAACAGCUUGUUGUAGCAGCCGGCGUGAAUAAAGUGCUGUUUGAAGAAAUGCUAAUGUUACAUCUUCGACUUACAUUGUGUCUAGCAUUGUUUGGCCUGGGUUUAACAGUAAGAACGGAGCAACAGGUUUUAGGGGGCCAUACACACAUACCUUUUCUGGUGCCAAGCCAUUGGUUAAAUAAGGAAAUUAAGAAGAAAGCAGAAGAUUAAUAGGGUCUGCAUGGCUCUCAAAUCCCCAAUGCUUUAAGUUCUGUUUGAUGUCUCGAGUGAAGAGCUCAUUCACACUAAAAUCAAAGAGCUGUCAUCUCGGCCGCAGUAAGAGCAGAUAAUAUCAGGGUGCAGACUUUGGGUUCUGGGUUUGUUUUUUAAGCCUUAAGGAAACUGUUGUUUCCUCUGUUGCACACUGCCUGCUGACCAACAUCUUUACACCACUUAUUGAUUGCCGUCAUGGGCCGGUGAACAGUCUCAUGGGAUGUUGACUGAACGCAGACGCUGUAAAACAUAACAGGCUGACAGGACUCCUAUAUAGGAACAUUUGUUAAAUCAGACAAGUACCGUUUACCUUCUUAAAUCUUGUCUUCCUCCAUCAAUUAACUGAGGAGACAGAGUCUCUUUUUCUCCAUGUUUUCUAACGCCACCAACAAGGUAGAGCUUUGCUCAGUGAGCCAUUCGUUCCGUUUUGUAAAGCCUAUGAUACAUUUUGAAGCAAAUUCCUUUUUUUUAAAACUAAUUGCAUGUGUUUAAAGCACUCAAGUGACUCACUACAAGCAUUCUGACGUCACACAGGCCGAUUCUUUUUUUUCCUGGUUCCACUGGCUCACCUCUGAAGAUAGUAUUGUUUACGAAGCUUCUGCUUUCUAAUCCAUGUAGACAAACGUAUUAGGAAAUUUAAUUUACAAAUUCAAAUGUUGAUUAAAUGAUUCACAAAAUUCAAUCGUGAAGGCCUUUUGUUGUAUUUGUCUUUGUUCCUUUUUAUAUGGACUUAUGUGUCCAGAAAUGCAUUUGAAUAAUGUAGAAUAAUCCACGACUGCUGUUCAAAAGACAAAAAAAUGAAUUGAAAGAAUGAAUGCUACUUUGAAGAUAUUUUUGUUACUUAAACAGUGGCAUAGAAAAUCCCCCAGAAUACAGUUUUUAAUGGCUUGGUGACUCAUCCAAGCAAGAAAUGGG